rnacentral:rRNA from 1 species
GACGAACGCUGGCGGCGUGCUUAACACAUGCAAGUCGAACGGAAAGGCCCUGCUUUUGUGGGGUGCUCGAGUGGCGAACGGGUGAGUAACACGUGAGUAACCUGCCCUUGACUUUGGGAUAACUUCAGGAAACUGGGGCUAAUACCGGAUAGGAGCUCCUGCCGCAUGGUGGGGGUUGGAAAGUUUCGGCGGUUGGGGAUGGACUCGCGGCUUAUCAGCUUGUUGGUGGGGUAGUGGCUUACCAAGGCUUUGACGGGUAGCCGGCCUGAGAGGGUGACCGGCCACAUUGGGACUGAGAUACGGCCCAGACUCCUACGGGAGGCAGCAGUGGGGAAUAUUGCACAAUGGGCGGAAGCCUGAUGCAGCAACGCCGCGUGCGGGAUGACGGCCUUCGGGUUGUAAACCGCUUUCGCCUGUGACGAAGCGUGAGUGACGGUAAUGGGUAAAGAAGCACCGGCUAACUACGUGCCAGCAGCCGCGGUGAUACGUAGGGUGCGAGCGUUGUCCGGAUUUAUUGGGCGUAAAGGGCUCGUAGGUGGUUGAUCGCGUCGGAAGUGUAAUCUUGGGGCUUAACCCUGAGCGUGCUUUCGAUACGGGUUGACUUGAGGAAGGUAGGGGAGAAUGGAAUUCCUGGUGGAGCGGUGGAAUGCGCAGAUAUCAGGAGGAGCACCAGUGGCGAAGGCGGUUCUCUGGGCCUUUCCUGACGCUGAGGAGCGAAAGCGUGGGGAGCGAACAGGCUUAGAUACCCUGGUAGUCCACGCUGUAAACGGUGGGUACUAGGUGUGGGGUCCAUUCCACGGGUUCCGUGCCGUAGCUAACGCUUUAAGUACCCCGCCUGGGGAGUACGGCCGCAAGGCUAAAACUCAAGGGAAUUGACGGGGCCCCGCACAAGCGGCGGAGCAUGCGGAUUAAUUCGAUGCAACGCGUAGAACCUUACCUGGGUUUGACAUGGAUCGGGAGUGCUCAGAGAUGGGUGUGCCUCUUUUGGGGUCGGUUCACAGGUGGUGCAUGGCUGUCGUCAGCUCGUGUCGUGAGAUGUUGGGUUAAGUCCCGCAACGAGCGCAACCCUUGUUCACUGUUGCCAGCACGUUAUGGUGGGGACUCAGUGGAGACCGCCGGGGUCAACUCGGAGGAAGGUGGGGAUGACGUCAAGUCAUCAUGCCCCUUAUGUCCAGGGCUUCACGCAUGCUACAAUGGCUGGUACAGAGAGUGGCGAGCCUGUGAGGGUGAGCGAAUCUCGGAAAGCCGGUCUCAGUUCGGAUUGGGGUCUGCAACUCGACCACAUGAAGUCGGAGUCGCUAGUAAUCGCAGAUCAGCAACGCUGCGGUGAAUACGUUCCCGGGGCU